CCCCUCUCAGGGUGGCACCUGGAGAGUUCCCAGUACUCUACCAGUCUCGACUAUGGGAGGAAGAGUCACGCAGAGGCAUACCGAUUCCACACCCAGCUUGGACAUUGGCUAGUGAGUGGAAGGCAAUCUGCUCCAAGU